CUACGGGUCGCUGCAGUGGGAAAUAUUGCACAAUGGGCGCAAGCCUGAUGCAGCCAUGCCGCGUGUAUGAAGAAGGCCUUCGGGUUGUAAAGUACUUUCAGCGGGGAGGAAGGGAGUAAAGUUAAUACCUUUGCUCAUUGACGUUACCCGCAGAAGAAGCACCGGCUAACUCCGUGCCAGCAGCCGCGGUAAUACGGGAGGUGCAAGCGUUAAUCGGAAUUACUGGGCGUAAAGCGCACGCAGGCGGUUUGUUAAGUCAGAUGUGAAAUCCCCGGGCUCAACCUGGGAACUGCAUCUGAUACUGGCAAGCUUGAGUCUCGUAGAGGGGGGUAGAAUUCCAGGUGUAGCGGUGAAAUGCGUAGAGAUCUGGAGGAAUACCGGUGGCGAAGGCGGCCCCCUGGACGAAGACUGACGCUCAGGUGCGAAAGCGUGGGGAGCAAACAGGAUUAGAUACCCUGGUAGUC
rnacentral:rRNA from 1 species